AGAGCGAACGCUGGCGGCGUGCUUAACACAUGCAAGUCGAACGCGCAGCAGUUUGUAGCAAUACAGAUUGUGGGCGCGUGGCGAACGGGUGCGUAACACGUGGAUAACCUUCCUUCAGGUGGGGAAUAACCCAGUGAAAAUUGGGCUAAUACCGCAUAACAUGACGAUGGCACAUGCCGUUGUCUUCAAAGGCGCAAGUCGCCAGAAGAGGGAUCCGCGGCCGAUUAGCUAGUUGGCGAGGUAAUGGCUCACCAAGGCAAUGAUCGGUAGCCGGACUGAGAGGUUGGCCGGCCACACUGGAACUGAGACACGGUCCAGACUCCUACGGGAGGCAGCAGUGGGGAAUCUUGCACAAUGGACGAAAGUCUGAUGCAGCAACGCCGCGUGGGGGAUGAAGCUUUUCGGAGUGUAAACCCCUUUCGACCCGGAAGAAAGCCCGCAAGGGUUUGACGGUACGGGUAUAAGGAAGCCCGGCUAACUACGCGCCAGCAGCCG
rnacentral:rRNA from 1 species